CCUACGGGUGGCAGCAGUGGGGAAUAUUGGACAAUGGGGGCAACCCUGAUCCAGCCAUGCCGCGUGUGUGAAGAAGGCCCUCGGGUUGUAAAGCACUUUCAGUGAGGAAGAACGCCUGGUGGUUAAUACCCAUCAGGAAAGACAUCACUCACAGAAGAAGCACCGGCUAACUCCGUGCCUGCAGCCGCGGUAAUACGGAGGGUGCGAGCGUUAAUCGGAAUUACUGGGCGUAAAGCGCGCGUAGGUGGCUUGAUAAGCCGGUUGUGAAAGCCCCGGGCUCAACCUGGGAACGGCAUCCGGAACUGUCAAGCUAGAGUGCAGGAGAGGAAGGUAGAAUUCCCGGUGUAGCGGUGAAAUGCGUAGAGAUCGGGAGGAAUACCAGUGGCGAAGGCGGCCUUCUGGACUGACACUGACACUGAGGUGCGAAAGCGUGGGUAGCAAACAGGAUUAGAUACCCUUGUAGUC
rnacentral:rRNA from 1 species